UUUUAGAGUUUGGAAUCUGGCUCAGAUUGAACGCUGGCGGCAGGCUUAACACAUGCAAGUCGAGCGGAGAGAGGUAGCUUGCUACUGAUCUUAGCGGCGGACGGGUGAGUAAUGCUUAGGAAUCUGCCUAUUAGUGGGGGACAACAUUUCGAAAGGAAUGCUAAUACCGCAUACGUCCUACGGGAGAAAGCAGGGGAUCUUCGGACCUUGCGCUAAUAGAUGAGCCUAAGUCGGAUUAGCUAGUUGGUGGGGUAAAGGCCUACCAAGGCGACGAUCUGUAGCGGGUCUGAGAGGAUGAUCCGCCACACUGGGACUGAGACACGGCCCAGACUCCUACGGGAGGCAGCAGUGGGGAAUAUUGGACAAUGGGCGCAAGCCUGAUCCAGCCAUGCCGCGUGUGUGAAGAAGGCCUUAUGGUUGUAAAGCACUUUAAGCGAGGAGGAGGCUACUUUAGUUAAUACCUAGAGAUAGUGGACGUUACUCGCAGAAUAAGCACCGGCUAACUCUGUGCCAGCAGCCGCGGUAAUACAGAGGGUGCAAGCGUUAAUCGGAUUUACUGGGCGUAAAGCGCGCGUAGGCGGCUAAUUAAGUCAAAUGUGAAAUCCCCGAGCUUAACUUGGGAAUUGCAUUCGAUACUGGUUAGCUAGAGUGUGGGAGAGGAUGGUAGAAUUCCAGGUGUAGCGGUGAAAUGCGUAGAGAUCUGGAGGAAUACCGAUGGCGAAGGCAGCCAUCUGGCCUAACACUGACGCUGAGGUGCGAAAGCAUGGGGAGCAAACAGGAUUAGAUACCCUGGUAGUCCAUGCCGUAAACGAUGUCUACUAGCCGUUGGGGCCUUUGAGGCUUUAGUGGCGCAGCUAACGCGAUAAGUAGACCGCCUGGGGAGUACGGUCGCAAGACUAAAACUCAAAUGAAUUGACGGGGGCCCGCACAAGCGGUGGAGCAUGUGGUUUAAUUCGAUGCAACGCGAAGAACCUUACCUGGCCUUGACAUAGUAAGAACUUUCCAGAGAUGGAUUGGUGCCUUCGGGAACUUACAUACAGGUGCUGCAUGGCUGUCGUCAGCUCGUGUCGUGAGAUGUUGGGUUAAGUCCCGCAACGAGCGCAACCCUUUUCCUUAUUUGCCAGCGAGUAAUGUCGGGAACUUUAAGGAUACUGCCAGUGACAAACUGGAGGAAGGCGGGGACGACGUCAAGUCAUCAUGGCCCUUACGGCCAGGGCUACACACGUGCUACAAUGGUCGGUACAAAGGGUUGCUACCUAGCGAUAGGAUGCUAAUCUCAAAAAGCCGAUCGUAGUCCGGAUUGGAGUCUGCAACUCGACUCCAUGAAGUCGGAAUCGCUAGUAAUCGCGGAUCAGAAUGCCGCGGUGAAUACGUUCCCGGGCCUUGUACACACCGCCCGUCACACCAUGGGGAGUUUGUUGCACCAGAAGUAGCUAGCCUAACUGCAAAGAGGGCGGUUACCACGGUGUGGCCGAUGACUGGGGUGAAGUCGUAACAGGGUUAACCCGUAAACUUA
rnacentral:rRNA from 1 species